UACAGAGGCCCCAAGCGUUAUCCGGAAUCACUGGGCGUAAAGGGUGUGUAGGUGGUGUGUUUAGUCUUUUGUUAAAGCCUGGGGCUUAACUCCAGAUCUGCGAAAGAAACGGGCACACUAGAGAGUGCGAGAGGUUUAUGGAACUCAUGGAGUAGGGGUGAAAUCCGUUGAUAUCAUGGGGAACACCAAAAGCGAAGGCAAUAAACUGGCGCAUUUCUGACACUGAAACACGAAAGCGUGGGUAGCGAACGGG
rnacentral:rRNA from 1 species